rnacentral:lncRNA from 1 species
GGAAGAGUGAGUUUUAUUUUGUCAUUCACAUUAGCAUUCACUUCUAAUGAUUUCGGACACCUGUAAAAUGAUAUCGAAAUCAGUGGUGCAUUGGAUGGCAUUGUUCGACGUUGCCAGGACGAGAGAGGUGCGCGAGUUGGCGCGCAUUGAUUUCACCCUUCACUCUCCGCCCUGCUGCCGAACACCAUUUAGGCCAAGAUCGGGUAUAAUGGGAAACACCAUCAGCAGACAAUUACCCUUUCAGAGGAUUCACUUCUCCUCACAGACACUGUUAUUUGAGAAAUAGGAUCAUUUGAUUUCAUAUUGCACUAAAUAACACCCAGCCGGUUCAAAUUGCCAGCUUCUUAAAAACCGCCCAUUGGAAUAAAUUGCAGCGGCCUCUUUUGCUUUUCAGGGCAAUACGAUGGGCACCGGGAAGAACUUGUAAAAAUAACUACAAAGUCACUACAGAGUCCUUGCUAUUGAUGAGAAUAGCUCUGCCACCCCUCAGGCAAAGGCAUCCAGCUACCCUGCCACCGCCCCCUCCACCCGUCAACUUUGGAUGGUUCAACCACUUGGCUUUGGCAUUAAAACGUACAAUUCCAGCCACCCGGAGGAAGCGCUUCGAGCCACAAGUCGCAGAGCAAAGAAAGAUGAGCAAGAGACACAAAUUUCUCUCUUUUUUUUUUUCUUUUUUAAAUUGCCUGCAGGAUUCGCAUAUUCGGAGACCGCUGCGGAUGUGGGGAGCUGCGGCCCCGGCGUGCGCCGAGUUCAAGGGUCUCCGGUUCUUAGCGCAGAGUGUCCGGCGGCCACAGAACCGAGCGGGUCCAGUCGACGCGCCCUGCUUACUGGUGCGCCCUCAAAGUCUGCCAAGGCGUGGCGCCCAUUUUUGCUCUCACAACUGGCGCCAAGCCGAGAGCCGGGGCUCCAAGGGUCGGACCAAGGGGGCAGAAGGAGGAGGGAGCAGCAUUCCGGUAUUAGCGCCAAGUCGAGAAAGAAAGAAAAGAAGGCGAGCAGCGAGCUGCAGUUUGCUGCACACCCGCCACCAGAGACAUUUCAGACAGAAUUAAGCCUUUUGAAGUCGACCACUUACUGUGGUUUAAUUGACACUGUUCAACUGAGUGACAAUUGUUCAGUUGGAUGGGGGCGAUACACUCCCCGCUUAUUUUUUAAUUCGCAAAAUAAGAUUUGA